rnacentral:rRNA from 1 species
UACGAAGGGGGCUAGCGUUGCUCGGAAUGACUGGGCGUAAAGGGCGCGUAGGCGGUUCGUACAGUCAGACGUGAAAUUCCCGGGCUCAACCUGGGGGCUGCGUUUGAUACGUACGGGCUUGAGUUCGGAAGAGGGUCGUGGAAUUCCCAGUGUAGAGGUGAAAUUCGUAGAUAUUGGGAAGAACACCGGUGGCGAAGGCGGCGACCUGGUCCGAUACUGACGCUGGAGGCGCGAAAGCGUGGGGAGCAAACAGGA